GAAUGCAGCACAGUAGGUCUCAGCCUUAUUUUACCUAGCAGCUGUUCAAGAUGGAGUCGCUCUGAUUCCAACAUCUCUGACAAGACAUAAAGCCCUACAGCAUAUUUCUGAAGAACUAAAGAUGUUUUAACCCUCGUUUAUCACGGGACCCUAAUCAUCAUACUUUGAGUUCCCAUUUCCAGUUCAGAAGGCUCUACCUCAGUUUCCUCUCCAUCGCAAGACCAAAAGGCCCUUAAUGCAAGUACAGAAGAAUGAAGAAGGAAUAAACAGACCUUCUGGAUAAUUGCAUCAGCCUUCCCCACUAUUCCAAUGCCAUGCUAACAUUUCAAGUAAUGUCCCUUUUGUCUUGCUGAGAAAAAAUCAUUUCAUGAUUUAUUACACUGAAUUAAAGGCUAUGCACACUC